AACUCCAGGUACAGCACCCUCAGCUGGUUGGGGGAGGGGGCUUUAUCUAUCUAUUUCUGUGUUCUGCUUCUGUUGGAUUUAUGUUUGAACUUCUCCGACAUUUCUAAGUGUUUGGUACAAACAAGGCCAUUUCAGCUUGAAAAAGCAGUGGCAAGCAGUUCCCGGGGCUUGUUAGUGCUUUAUUGUGGCCAGAAUCCUGCCUUCCGAUCUACCCUGAGAUUAUCGACUCAGAGGGAGCGCUCAGUCGCCACUUACAACACAGCUUGCAGGCCGAGUCUCCAGCAGACGCCACGUGGUGAGAAGCCGCCACGCGAAGCCAGCCGCACGCAGGACGUCCACUUCCUCCAAGCGCAAGAUGCCCUGGUCAGCUGUCCAGGGGCUGGACAUAGCCGUGGCCGGCCGGCCCUUACUCAUCCAGAGCAGAUGUGGGUUCACAUCAAUAAUUCAUGGAAGCCAGAAAUCUGCCAUCAAUUAAACCACGUCCUGUGCCCACACUCCCUGUAACCGCCCGGAAGCUCCCGGGCUGGGCCCCACAUCACACACGUCUGCGAAAAUCGUCCCUGGAACCUUAAAUUCAUUGAGCUUGAGGAUCAUGGCCCCGUUGGUUAACGUUUUGGUUAAAAGUCCUUGAAGCUUUUGGCGUGGCUGAUUGGAUGCGGGUCUCUGGUGUAGUGGACGCGCCUGGCGUGGCUCCCUGUACAGGCCACAGAGAGGUGGGCCUGCCGCAGUAAGGCGGGUG
rnacentral:lncRNA from 1 species